UGCACCACACAAAGCGCAUGCACCCUGGAGAGCUGUGGUUGUGUGUGUCUGAAAUUCACAUUUGACCGGGCGUAUUAGCUGGCUCUGGCCCUGAUUCCCUGGAAGGGCAUGCGCUGGUGGCCUUGGAAACUGCGUCUCACCCUGGCUGUCCCUUCACAGGCUGCACUCCCCGAAAGUGCGGCAGAGGUGUCACCGAUGUUGUCAUCACCAGGGAGGAAGCGGAGCGGAUUCGCAGCAUAGCUGAAAAGGGGCUCUCCCUGGGAGGAUCUGACGGAGGGGCAUCCAUUCUGGACUUGCACUCAGGGGCCCUGUCUGUCGGGAAGCACUUUGUGAACCUGUACAGAUACUUCGGGGAUAAAAUGCAGAACAUCUUCUCAGAGGAGGACUUCCGGUUAUACCGGGAGGUGCGGCAGAAGGUCCAGCUCACCAUUGCUGAGGCUUUCGGCAUCAGCGCGUCCUCGCUGCAUCUGACCAAGCCCACCUUCUUCUCCCGCAUAAACAGCACGGAAGCGCGGACGGCGCACGACGAGUACUGGCAUGCGCACGUGGACAAGGUGACCUACGGCUCCUUCGACUACACCUCGCUGCUGUACCUCUCCAACUACCUGGAGGACUUCGGCGGAGGGCGGUUCGUGUUCAUGGAGGAGGGUGCCAACAAGACGGUGGAGCCGAGAGCUGGUCGCGUCUCCUUCUUCACCUCGGGGUCCGAGAACCUACACCGCGUGGAAAAGGUCCACUGGGGCACCCGUUACGCCAUCA
rnacentral:sRNA from 1 species